GUGCUCCAGGCCUCUAGGGGGCGCGCUACGUGGAACAGAUUGAUGUCUGACCAGACAUAGAGAGAACGAACAAGAGUGCUGCAAAUUGAAGCCGGAGGAAACAAAGUUGAUCGAAGUGGAAAAAGUCGAAAUAUAAGAAGUCAGUCAUUUGUGUGUAUGCAGGUGUGGGACAUUCCACAUUUUCCAUAAGUGAGCACUCCACGAAUGGACAACAGUUUGCCAGGACCUCUCAGGCACCCACAACCAGCGUCUGAUCGGGAUGGAGCACCAACCCCAUUCCAGGAAGAGGUCCAGUCUGCCCCGGGUCAGAACNCU